rnacentral:misc_RNA from 1 species
GAUGAAGAACGCAGCGAAAUGCGAUACGUAGUGUGAAUUGCAGAAAUACGUGAACCAUCGAAUCUUUGAACGCAUAUUGCGCUCUCUGGUAUUCCGGAGAGCAUGCUUGUUUGAGUAUCAGUAAACACCUCAACUUCCAUAUCUUUUUUGAAAUGGGAGUUGGACUUGAGUGAUCCCAACGCUUUUCCUCACCGAAAAGUGGCGGGUUACUUGAAAUGCAGGUGCAGCUGGACUUUUCUCUGAGCUAUAAGCAUAUCUAUUUAGUCUGCCUAAAAAACAGAUUAUUACCUUUGCUGCAGCUAACAUAAAGGAGAUUAGUUCUUGUGCUGACUGAUGCAGGAUUCACAAAGACAGGCUUCGGCCGACUUUGUAAACUCGAUCUCAAAUCAAGUAAGACUACCCGCUGAACUUAAGCAUAUCAAUAAGCGGAGGA